UUCACAUUUUUGUGUUGAAAUAGAUUAGCCUAUCCCCUGUAUGUCACUGAUGCACUACUACAAAGAUGUGAGGACAAGAAAAUACACCUGCGAGUAGUCUUGGACAUUGCCUGUGUUGUUGCCUCACAUUUGCAGAAAUCAGGGGAGGGCAUAUCACACAACAUCUCCUUAGUCGUACCAGCAUUUCAUGUUUAUGGACACAAAUGGCCCUGCCAGAUCAAGUACAGUACCAGAUGGCUUGAUGGGUUUGGCCUCACAGACGGGGAAGGAAUGGAAAGGCUGUGGUCUUUCCUCCAAAGAUUUGCCAGAGUCACAAAGGAGAUGACUCCAUCUCAUCACUUUUGACCUACUGACUGAUGCCCUUUUUGCAUUAUGGACGGAGGAAAUCAACUGACCUAGAGGUGCAGCUCCUGCAAAGAGUAGACAAAGCAGAGAAAAUAUUGCUCAAGAAGAUAUCUCAUCUGUCAUCAGAGAGGCAUCAGUGUUGAUUUCUGAAGGAGACAUGGAGAAAUGGAAAAAAGCUAGCCCAACAAAAACCAAUAAACACUGUCUGUAGAUGGAAAAGGGACUACAUCAUCAGACUGAUUCAGUUCUACAAGUUCAAAUAUUAGAAUUGAGGACUCUGCUGAACAUUGAGAAAAACUACCGUAUUGGGAGAAGAUGGCAAGAGUCUGAUUCAAACUUCCAGUCUACCCUUAAAGAUGUGGACCAUGAGCUCAGAGUCCAACUGCAAGGCUAGAACUGAAUCAAGGGAGAGAGCAGUCGUCCUCCACCUGAGAAGAAUAUAUCCAGCUUUGCUUCAGAUGGGCAGGGCAUUGUCAUUAGACUCUCCAAGCAGGUAGCCAGCUCCAACAAUAGACUGAGACAGCAUUCAAUAGUCACCGCAGUUGAGCUUCUUACCUGCGACAAUUGAUUUUCAGGAAUCAUGUGAUCCCUCUUGGCAUGUCUACUUCUGCUUUGAUGACACUAUUGAAGAAGAUGAUGUUUCGAGGAGUCUAAAGGGAUUGAUGCCUUACAUAUGAAGACUCAUGCAAAAGCUGCUCUCAUUCAACGCUUCCAACAGCUGGAAAGAAAACUACAUCAAGCCAUUGUGAUGUUUCACCCACAUGUAUCAGACUUUGUUCCUGCAGACAACCCCCACUUGUGUCAGGCCCUCCCCAUGCCAAGCAUACAGACACUGGUAUACAAUGAUAAGAGUGAUAAUGAUGACAAUGUGGAUAACUAGCACUACAGAUUUUUUUUUACAUUUCUAGUCUGAUAUUGUAUUCUGUAAAAAGAAUGAUGUAAAAUGUAUAGUAUAUGUUGCAGCAUAUUAUAGAAACCUUUAUGGUGGUGUAAUAUAAUGUUCGCCUUACUUGUGCAAACAUGAUGUUUUACUAGAUCUGAUUUAUUAUUAAACGUAGGUACUGUUUUUAAGCACACAUAUUCACACUAGUCUGUGUGAGGACAAAAUUGUGUGUUUACCAUUGUGAUGUUACUUAUUUACUGUAAUGUACAAAUGUGGUCAAUGUG